rnacentral:rRNA from 1 species
AGAGAGAGACAUGCGCGCAUAUCAAUAAGCGGAGGAAAAGAAACUAACUAGGAUUCCCUCAGUAACGGCGAGUGAAGCGGGAAGAGCUCAAAUUUGAAAUCUUCAAGGUUCUACCUUGACGAAUUGUAGUUUAAAGAAGUGUUUUCUGUUGGAGUUUUGGUAAAAGUUCUUUGGAAUAGGACAUCAUAGAGGGUGAGAAUCCCGUAUUUGACCAUUAUUUCCAACUUUGUGAUACACUUUCAAAGAGUCGGAUUGUUUGGGAAUGCAGCCCAAAAUGGGUGGUAAAUUUCAUCUAAAGCUAAAUACUGGCGAGAGACCGAUAGCGAACAAGUACCGUGAGGGAAAGAUGAAAAGAACUUUGAAAAGAGAGUUAAACAGUACGUGAAAUUGUCAAAAGGGAAGCGUUUGACACCAGUGUUGUUUUUCCGAAAAUCAAUUACGAAUGUUUUAUUUUUGAGGAGUUAUGACUUCAUCGGCUUGCUCCUUUCUUUAUGAAACUUUCUUAAUGCACUUUUCGGUUAACAAGUCAACAUCAAUUUCUUUUGUUGUAAAAGGGUAUGAGGAAGGUGGCUUUCUUUUCGGAGAAAGUGUUUAUAGCCUUGUGCCUCUGCAAUCGGAGAGAUUGAGGUCUGCAGCGUAGAUCCUUCGGGGUUAGAUACGUUUGUGCUAAGUUAUAGCUUUUCAUAGACAACUUGUUGACUAUGUUUAGUCUUGUAGCUUACUCGCUGACGCUAUUUUACCUACGCUUAGGAUGUUGAUAGUCACAGCGUGUAC